rnacentral:rRNA from 1 species
UACGUAGGGUGCAAGCGUUAUCCGGAAUUAUUGGGCGUAAAGAGCUCGUAGGCGGUUUGUCGCGUCUGCUGUGAAAACUGGAGGCUCAACCUCCAGCCUGCAGUGGGUACGGGCAGACUAGAGUGCGGUAGGGGAGAUUGGAAUUCCUGGUGUAGCGGUGGAAUGCGCAGAUAUCAGGAGGAACACCGAUGGCGAAAGCAGAUCUCUGGGCCGUAACUGACGCUGAGGAGCGAAAGCAUGGGGAGCGAACAGG